GGGUUGUGAGGUUAAGCGACUAAGCGUACACGGUGGAUGCCCUGGCAGUCAGAGGCGAUGAAGGGCGUGCUAAUCUGCGAUAAGCGCCGGUAAGGUGAUAUGAACCGUUAUAACCGGCGAUACCCGAAUGGGGAAACCCAGUGUGAUUCGUCACACUAUCAUUAACUGAAUCCAUAGGUUAAUGAGGCGAACCGGGGGAACUGAAACAUCUAAGUACCCCGAGGAAAAGAAAUCAACCGAGAUUCCCCCAGUAGCGGCGAGCGAACGGGGAGGAGCCCAGAGCCUGAAUCAGCAUGUGUGUUAGUGGAAGCGUCUGGAAAGGCGCGCGAUACAGGGUGACAGCCCCGUACACAAAAGCGCAUGUGCUGUGAGCUCGAUGAGUAGGGCGGGACACGUGGUAUCCUGUCUGAAUAUGGGGGGACCAUCCUCCAAGGCUAAAUACUCCUGACUGACCGAUAGUGAACCAGUACCGUGAGGGAAAGGCGAAAAGAACCCCGGCGAGGGGAGUGAAAAAGAACCUGAAACCGUGUACGUACAAGCAGUGGGAGCACCCUUUUGGGUGUGACUGCGUACCUUUUGUAUAAUGGGUCAGCGACUUAUAUUCUGUAGCAAGGUUAACCGAAUAGGGGAGCCGGAGGGAAACCGAGUCUUAACCGGGCGUUAAGUUGCAGGGUAUAGACCCGAAACCCGGUGAUCUAGCCAUGGGCAGGUUGAAGGUUGGGUAACACUAACUGGAGGACCGAACCGACUAAUGUUGAAAAAUUAGCGGAUGACCUGUGGCUGGGGGUGAAAGGCCAAUCAAACCGGGAGAUAGCUGGUUCUCCCCGAAAGCUAUUUAGGUAGCGCCUCGUGAAUUCAUCUCCGGGGGUAGAGCACUGUUUCGGCUAGGGGGCCAUCCCGGCUUACCAACCCGAUGCAAACUGCGAAUACCGGAGAAUGUUAUCACGGGAGACACACGGCGGGUGCUAACGUCCGUCGUGAAGAGGGAAACAACCCAGACCGCCAGCUAAGGUCCCAAAGUCAUGGUUAAGUGGGAAACGAUGUGGGAAGGCCCAGACAGCCAGGAUGUUGGCUUAGAAGCAGCCAUCAUUUAAAGAAAGCGUAAUAGCUCACUGGUCGAGUCGGCCUGCGCGGAAGAUGUAACGGGGCUAAACCAUGCACCGAAGCUGCGGCAGCGA
rnacentral:rRNA from 1 species